AAUCAGCUCUUUCAGCACAUCUGGAAGUGUGAUCCUGCCUGCUGAAAUCCACUGGAAAGUGCUCUAUGGGAUUGCCUCUGCCCAGAUCCACAGGACACUCUCGGACAUCCUGGGUCUUUCCCACCACAGGGCGGAGGUGAUGUGGUCGUCACUCAUCCGGAAGGAAUUUCAGAGGACAAGCAGUCGCUGCGAGCCCAGAGCGAGAGGCAGGAGAACACUUUACAAACACUGCACACCUGGGAGUAAAGUCUUGGCUGAAUUUGCAUCUGGCACCACGUGCUGUCAAGGGAGACUCCAGUGCAGCCCAGGCUUUGCAAAGAGCUUCACUCCAUCGCCGCUGCCUGGCACACGCCUGGGAGGGCUUGUUCUCAUGGGCUCUGUUGCAUCUUGAAGGAGCCUCAGACUUUUGGAGGGGUCUGGUCUCUCCUGUACCCUGUUCUGGUGCCUGGCUGGUGGCACCUGAAGGAACCUGGAUCCUCCACAUCUCCUUGUAAUUCCUUUGGAGAAUGUCCUGCCUGGGGCUGGGCUGCUGGGGCUGUGACCCCACAGGAAAACAUGAACUCCAAAGGCUGAAGGUGAUCACAGGGUAUUUGUCCUAUCCCAUCCUUUCUCCUGGCCCUGGGGCAUGUCUUUUGUCCCAGUACAGAACACAGAGCCCUGGAAAUGGCUUUGCUGGGAAGACCCACAGUUUUGGUGACCUUUGUGCACAUUCCACAUCCCUCAGCUCCAUCCUGCUCCUGGCUUGGUUUUCCUUCUGAAGAUCCAUGGCGCUGGUGGGAAGUUUAAUUUUUCCCUGCUAAAACAGCUGGAUUGGCACAAGGAGCUGGGAAGAUAAACAAGGACUAUCCAUGUGUCCUGGAAAGUGGAUCCAGUCACAGGGCAGCGAUUCCAGGGGCCCUCGUGUUUAUUUACCACUCUGCUGUCCUGAGGGACUGGUUCCAUUCCUGACCUCCAACUGCUUUGGGCAGGAAUUGCUCCAACUGAGCAGGUGGCAGCUGGGAAUAUUGUUCCACUCUGGAUUUGCUGCACCCUGUGUUGCCUUUCCUGCAGGCGCUUCGUGUCCUUCC
rnacentral:lncRNA from 12 species